GGAAAUCUAUACCUUUGGA
rnacentral:misc_RNA from 1 species